CAGAGCGCCCGCGGCCGAGCCUGCUGCGCAGUCUGAUGACGUAUUUCCUGUUGGCCGAGCCGCGCGUACAGCUCAUCUAUCGCUCCCAGCUCCACGCAGGUCAACACAAGCUUGGCAGGGUCUCAGUAUGUAGUCCAGACUGGCUUCGAGCUUGCAGCAAUCCACCUGUCUCACCAUCCCAAGUGCUGGGAUAACAGUUAGGAAGCCACAACUUGAAUAGGAUAAGUUCAUCAUUGGCCCUCUCAUCCAGGACAUAGGUGUACACCACUGAAGCUUGGCCUUUACUUCUGAUUGAUCAGGAAGCUGUGAGUGAGCCAGACACCUGAACUAUUUCUCUAGGAAUAUAUGCAAUGAAGGUGGUAUGUCUGAAUGAAAAAACAACCUACAAGGGGGUUUCACCCCAUAUUCUCAUUCCUGAAUGACAAUGAUUCCCUGAGUCCUUGGACGGAAGUUGUGUCCUGGCUCUGUUUUCCUAGGAGGCUACCACCCUGGACCUGAAUAUUGUAUCCUAUGUUCCUUUUCUUUUCGAGACAAGCUCAAUAUACAGUUCAGGCUGGCUGGAAAUUCUCAGUGAUCCUCCUGCCUCAGCCUCCCGAGUGCUGGGAUUACAAGCAUGCAUCACCACAUCAGGCCUGUUUCUUUUUGAUGAAAGUGUGGGGAGACAUAUUGGCAAUCAGCAGGCAAUGUCCCCAUAUAUAUGCUUGCCACAAUGGCACUAGUACAGUGGAACUAUGAGAAGCAACCAAAGCAAGAUGUGUCUCAACACAUCUUGAGUGGGAGUGGGUAUUAUUUUGGUAACUAGGGUGGCUUUGUGUGGCUCAUUUCUACAAUCUUCCCCAGGUCUGCUGAGAACACCAAACCAUUCCAAAAAGAUUACAGUAAAUAAUACCAGGGGCCUAGCAUUCUUUCCAAGGCUUUAAUUCCAGCACACUAUUCAGGAUACAAAGUAGUUUGCCAGAGUGGCUUCACAGACUGGGGCUGUGCAGGAUCACUUUGAAUAGGACUAGAGGCUCUGUCAUGCGCACGUCCAGCCUUGGCUUCCUGUUGGCAUGUGCCAGAAUCUCAGCUCUCCUGGAGAAAUCGGGAGUAGGCCUCUGUUCUGGAGGGGAUUUCUUAUUGACUGUGUGUAUGCAUCCAGGAGGUUUGUUAAUAUUAUGAAAGAGGUGGGAGCUCUGCAAAGAUUUGUCUGCAUAAGUCUGAACAGUGCCAGACAUAAUUUGGAGGCCUUGAAAGUUGAACCAGCCACAAUGAGGACAGUGAUCUACAGAGCUGCUUCCACAGCGUUAGUCUAAUAGAUGCACACAGGGAACCUGUGCCCUUUAAAAAACUGAGUGUGUAGUGUUAAUUCCAGACGGAGAAGCUAAAUCACCCCCUCCUUUAUUUACAGAAGCUAUUGCAUUUCAUCACCCACAUGAGGGAUGACUCCUGAAAUGCAUCAGGCACAAAUUCUGCACAAUUCUACUUAUAUGUGGAAUCUAAAAUUUCCAAGUCAGAAGCAGAGCGUAGAUGGUCAUUAUCAGUGGCUGGAGUGGUAGGGAGAUACUGGUCAAAGUAUACAAAGUUUCAGUUAGACUGGAAGAACACUUAAGAGCCCUACUGUAUAACAUAGUGAUUACAGCUAAGAACAAUAUUUGAAGAUUCUUAAGAGAGUAGAUUUCAACUGUUCUUACCACAGAAAAGAGUAGUAUGGGGGCCGGGGAUUUAGCUCAGCGGUGCCGCCGCCUGCCUCCCAAGCGCGAGGACCUGAGUUUGAUCCUUGCCACUGAAAAAAAAUUAGAAAAGAUUAG